UACGUAGGGUGCAAGCGUUGUCCGGAAUUAUUGGGCGUAAAGAGCUCGUAGGCGGUCUGUCGCGUCUGCUGUGAAAACUCGGGGCUUAACCCCAGGCCUGCAGUGGGUACGGGCAGACUAGAGUGCGGUAGGGGAGACUGGAAUUCCUGGUGUAGCGGUGAAAUGCGCAGAUAUCAGGAGGAACACCGGUGGCGAAGGCGGGUCUCUGGGCCGUAACUGACGCUGAGGCACGAAAGCGUGGGGAGCAAACAGG
rnacentral:rRNA from 1 species